rnacentral:rRNA from 1 species
AGCGAACGCUGGCGGCAGGCUUAACACAUGCAAGUCGAGCGCCGUAGCAAUACGGAGCGGCAGACGGGUGAGUAACGCGUGGGAACGUGCCUUCUGGUUCGGAAUAACUCAGGGAAACUUUAGCUAAUACCGGAUAAGCCCUUCGGGGGAAAGAUUUAUCGCCGGAAGAUCGGCCCGCGUAAGAUUAGCUAGUUGGUGAGGUAAUGGCUCACCAAGGCUACGAUCUUUAGCUGGUCUGAGAGGAUGAUCAGCCACACUGGGACUGAGACACGGCCCAGACUCCUACGGGAGGCAGCAGUGGGGAAUAUUGGACAAUGGGCGCAAGCCUGAUCCAGCCAUGCCGCGUGAGUGAUGAAGGCCUUAGGGUUGUAAAGCUCUUUUAGCAGGGACGAUAAUGACGGUACCUGCAGAAAAAGCCCCGGCCAACUUCGUGCCAGCAGCCGCGGUAA